rnacentral:rRNA from 1 species
GUGUAAACAGGCGAUAAGUCAUUCAAGUUUCUGACCUAUCAGCUUUCGACGGUAUGGUAUUGGCUUACCGUGGCAGUGACGGUUAACGGGGGAUUAGGGUUCGAUUCCGGAGAGGGAGCCUGAGAGACGGCUACCACAUCUAAGGAAGGCAGCAGGCGCGCAAAUUACCCAAUUCUAACAGCAUAAGAGAGGUAGUGACAAGAAAUAACAAUACAAGGUAUUUAAAAUGCUUUGUAAUUGGAAUGAUAGAAAUUUAAACACUUUUUAAAGUAUCAAUUGGAGGGCAAGUCUGGUGCCAGCAGCCGCGGUAAUUCCAGCUCCAAUAGCGUAUAUUAAAAUUGUUGCAGUUAAAAAGCUCGUAGUUGAAUUUCUGCUAAAAAUAACCGGUCGGCUUUUAAUAAAAGUGGUAUCCUGGUGUGUUUUUAGCAAUAGCGUCCUUUGAAAUGUUUUUUACUUUAUUGUAAUAAACCAUAUUCAGGAUUUUUACUUUGAGAAAAUUAGAGUGUUUUUAG